GAAUCCCGUCUUUGGCACGGAUGCACCAGGGCUUUUGUGAUGCGCUCUCGAAGAGUCGAGUUGUUUGGGAAUGCAGCUCAAAAUGGGUGGUGAACUCCAUCUAAGGCUAAAUAUUGGCGAGAGACCGAUAGCGAACAAGUACCGUGAGGGAAAGAUGAAAAGCACUUUGGAAAGAGAGUGAAACAGUACGUGAAAUUGUUGAAAGGGAAACGCUUGAAGUCAGUCGCGUCGACCGAGACUCAGCCUUGCCUCGGCUCGGUGUACUUCUCGGCCGACGGGUCAGCAUCAAUUUUGCCCCUCGGAUAAUGGCGAGAGAAAGGUGGCACCCUCACGGGUGUGUUAUAGUCUCCCGUCGGAUGCGAGGGUCGGGAUUGAGGAACUCGGCACGUACCGUGCUUAGGAUGUUGGCAUAAUGGCUUUAAACGACCCGUCUUGAAACACGGACCAAGGAGUCUAACAUGCCCGCGAGUGUUCGGGUGGAAAACCCGUGCGCGUAAUGAAAGUAAAAGUUGGGACCCCUGUCGUGGGGGGCACCGACGCCCGGACCAGACCUUCUGUGACGGAUCUGCGGUAGAGCGUGCAUGUUGGGACCCGAAAGAUGGUGAACUAUGCCUGAAUAGGGUGAAGCCAGAGGAAACUCUGGUGGAGGCUCGUAGCGAUUCUGACGUGCAAAUCGAUCGUCAAAUUUGGGUAUAGGGGCGAAAGACUAAUCGAACCAUCUAGUAGCUGGUUCCUGCC
rnacentral:rRNA from 1 species